GCACUGCUGAGGAGUCCAAAAACAGGACGAAACGGCCGUUCAGUGC
rnacentral:hammerhead_ribozyme from 1 species